UUUCCGUAGGUGAACCUGCGGAAGGAUCAUUAAUGAACUUUGAACUGCUUGUGGCUCUUUAGGCUGUUGCUGACGAGGACCUUCACGGGUUCUUCGUACGUGCACGUCUGGGGUUGCAGCUUUCUUCGUCCACCUGUGCACACUCUGUAGGUCUGGAUACCCCAUUGGAAGGGUGCGCUUCUUGCGCUCCCUUUGCCUUCCAGGCCUAUGUCUUAUAAACACUAUAGUAUGUAACGAAUGUCAUUGAUUAUUGGACUUCACUGUCCUUUAAACUAAAUACAACUUUCAACAACGGAUCUCUUGGCUCUC
rnacentral:misc_RNA from 1 species